AGCCAAACUCUAGCCCAACCAACCCCCAACCAAAAAUCAUCAAAAACUAACUCCCAUUAAAAGCCAAAACAUUUAUCCUAGCCUCAGUAUAGGUGAUAGAAAAGGCCCCACUUUAAUUGGCGCCAUAGAGACCCGUACCGCAAGGGAAAGAUGAAAUAACAAUGAAAACCCAAGCCAUAAACAGCAAAGAUUAACCCUUGUACCUCUUGCAUCAUGAUUUAGCAAGAAUAACCAAGCAAAACGAAUUUAAGCUUGCCCUCCCGAAACCCAAGCGAGCUACUUGCAGGCAGCUUUCUGAGCGAACCCGUCUCUGUUGCAAAAGAGUGGGACGACCCGCUAGUAGAGGUGAAAAGCCAACCGAGCUGGGUGAUAGCUGGUUGCCUGUGAAACGAAUCUAAGUUCCCUCUUGGCCAUUCCCCAAAGGCACUCAACCAACCCCCUGCGUAACCAACCAAGAGCAAUUUAAAGGAGGUACAGCUCCUUUAAAAAAGAAUACAACCUCCUCCAGAGGAUAUCUCAAUUCCACGCAAGUCCUGUAGGCUUUAAAGCAGCCACCAACAAAGAGUGCGUCAAAGCUCAGCACCACAAAAAUUCAAAACCACAUACAACUCCCUCCCCACUAACAGGCCAACCUAUAACUAUAGGUGGAUUAAUGCUAAAAUAAGUAAUUACGGGAUAACCCUCUUUAAGCGCAAACUUAUACCCAAUUAACAGAUAUGAUACAUAAAUCUCCACAAGACCCAGUAUCAAUCAACAACUGUUAUUACCAACCCAGGUGCGCCCACUAGAAAGAUUCAAAUCUGUAAAAGGAACUAGGCAAACCUAAGGCCCGACUGUUUACCAAAAACAUAGCCUUCAGCAGACCAAGUAUUGAAGGUGAUGCCUGCCCAGUGACACUACGUUCAACGGCCGCGGUAUCCUAACCGUGCGAAGGUAGCGCAAUCAAUUGUCUCAUAAAUCGAGACUUGUAUGAAUGGCUAAACGAGGUCUUAACUGUCUCCUACAGACAAUCAGUGAAAUUGAUCUCCCUGUGCAAAAGCAGGGAUCUAUACAUAAGACGAGAAGACCCUGUGGAACUUAAAAAUCAAAGCCACCCCACAAACAACCUCCCCCUACUAGGCCCACUCCAUUCCCCCUGGCUUACAUUUUUCGGUUGGGGCGACCUUGGAGAAAAACAAAUCCUCCAAAAACAAGACCACACCUCUUAACUAAGAGCAACCUCUCAACGUACUAACAGUAACCAGACCCAAUACAAUUGAUCAAUGGACCAAGCUACCCCAGGGAUAACAGCGCAAUCCCCUCCAAGAGCCCAUAUCGACGAGGGGGUUUACGACCUCGAUGUUGGAUCAGGACACCCUAAUGGUGCAGCCGCUAUUAAAGGUUCGUUUGUUCAACGAUUAACAGUCCUACGUGAUCUGAGUUCAGACCGGAGCAAUCCAGGUCGGUUUCUAUCUAUGAUUAAGGCUCUUCCCAGUACGAAAGGACCGGAAAAGCAGGGCCCAUACCACAAGCACGCCCUCUCAGCAAGCAAUGAAACCAACUAAAUCGCCAAGCUGACCUACUACUCCACCCCUAGACAAGGGACC
rnacentral:rRNA from 1 species